AUUGAACGCUGGCGGCAGGCCUAACACAUGCAAGUCGAGCGGAUGAAGGGAGCUUGCUCCUGGAUUCAGCGGCGGACGGGUGAGUAAUGCCUAGGAAUCUGCCUGGUAGUGGGGGAUAACGUCCGGAAACGGGCGCUAAUACCGCAUACGUCCUGAGGGAGAAAGUGGGGGAUCUUCGGACCUCACGCUAUCAGAUGAGCCUAGGUCGGAUUAGCUAGUUGGUGGGGUAAAGGCCUACCAAGGCGACGAUCCGUAACUGGUCUGAGAGGAUGAUCAGUCACACUGGAAAAUAGACACGGUCGAGAAUACGAAGGGUGGAAGAAGUGUGGAAGAGUGGACAAUGGGCGCAAGUCGGAAAGAGCUAUAAGGCGAGAGGGAAGAAGGUAAGAGGAUUGUAAAGUGUUUUGAGUGGGAAAGAAAAGCAGCAAGUUAAUAACGUGGUGCUAGGAGGGGACAAAAAGAAGAAGAACCGAAUAAUUUCGUG
rnacentral:rRNA from 1 species